UCAUUUUGGAUUGAAACUGAUAUUUGGAUUUGGUGUUUUUUGGAUUGAAAUUUUGGACGAAGCUGGAGGUGUCAAGAGAUGAGGUUCACAAGGGUGGAAAUGUUGGGAAACCUUCAGAGAUGAUGGUAUGUUGGAGUUUUGAUGAACAACAACAACAGGCAUCGAUCUCAUCCUUGAUUUUAAAGGUUAGACUUAUUUUUGCCUCCAGUUGGUGUACUAUUCAAUUCUACUAAAGGGUGAUUAAAAACGAACGAGAGAUGGCUUCAAAAUUGUUGUAGUAACACAGUAAAAUCUACGUAUUCGAGUUAAAACACAGUCUUACUUAAAGCAAUUUUAUUCACCACGUUUUUUUAUAAACUUCUUGAUGGCAAUUCUUACAACCAAAGAUAUUACACACCAAGAUGGAGCAUCCCUAUACUGAAUGCAUGGAAUGUUUUGUCCGCAAAAUAAACACCGAAUGUUUACAAACAAACGCGGCAAUAGUAAACAGAAACCAGUGGCGUAGUUGAAAAGUUGUAAAUAAUAAUAUGUAAUAUCUUUUAUUAUAGCGGUGUGAAGAAUAGUAAUGAUGGGUGUAUAUGAAUUUGAUAAUUACAUCAAUUCGUUUGGAAAAUAAAAUUGUUUGAUAUAA